rnacentral:rRNA from 1 species
CAGUGGGGAAUCUUGCGCAAUGGGCGAAAGCCUGACGCAGCAACGCCGCGUGAGCGAAGACGGCCUUCGGGUUGUAAAGCUCUGUCAGGAGGGACGAAGCCACUCAGGUGAAUAGCCGAGAGGGUGACGGUACCUCCAGAGGAAGCCCCGGCUAACUACGUGCCAGCAGCCGCGGUAAUACGUAGGGGGCGAGCGUUGUCCGGAAUCAUUGGGCGUAAAGCGCGUGUAGGCGGCCAUCCAAGUCCGAUGUGAAAGCUCGGGGCUCAACCCCGAGUCUGCAUUGGAAACUGGCUGGCUAGAGUCCGGAAGAGGAGACUGGAAUUCCUGGUGUAGCGGUGAAAUGCGCAGAUAUCAGGAAGAACACCGGUGGCGAAGGCGGGUCUCUGGGACGGUACUGACGCUGAGACGCGAAAGCGUGGGGAGCAAACAGGAUUAGAUACCCUGGUAGUCCACGCCGUAAACGAUGGGCACUAGGUGUGGGAGGUGUCGACUCCUUCCGUGCCGUAGCUAACGCAUUAAGUGCCCCGCCUGGGGAGUACGGCCGCAAGGCUAAAACUCAAAG